rnacentral:rRNA from 1 species
GACGAACGCUGGCGGCGUGCUUAACACAUGCAAGUCGAACGGAAAGGCCUCUUCGGAGGUACUCGAGUGGCGAACGGGUGAGUAACACGUGGGCAAUCUGCCCUGCACUUCGGGAUAAGCCUGGGAAACUGGGUCUAAUACCGAAUACGACCUUUAGACGCAUGUCUUUUGGUGGAAAGCUUUUGCGGUGUGGGAUGGGCCCGCGGCCUAUCAGCUUGUUGGUGGGGUGAUGGCCUACCAAGGCGACGACGGGUAGCCGGCCUGAGAGGGUGUCCGGCCACACUGGGACUGAGAUACGGCCCAGACUCCUACGGGAGGCAGCAGUGGGGAAUAUUGCACAAUGGGCGCAAGCCUGAUGCAGCGACGCCGCGUGGGGGAUGACGGCCUUCGGGUUGUAAACCUCUUUCAGCAGGGACGAAGCGAGAGUGACGGUACCUGCAGAAGAAGCACCGGCCAACUACGUGCCAGCAGCCGCAGUAACAC